CAAAACUCCGCGGGCGUAGCUGACGGUUUCUGCCCACAAAUGCGAGUCCAGUCAGUACAGGCCACUGCACGAGUCCUUUUGGGAUCGUCACGGCUGCAUAGAGAUGUGGUGGACUCCAAGAGGAUCAAAAUACAUCAAUUUCUGAUGGAUUUAGUAAAACAGUAAUACAGAUACUGUACUGGUGCCUUCAGACUGAUGUGGAGGAGUACAGAGUCCAAAAAACAGGAAGCAACGUUCCUCUCACUUUCACACAGACAGGUGCGCUUGCAGCUUUAUUUGCAUGCGCUUCUGCUCCGCCGCUUAUUCAUAAGUCGCCGCGAAUCUUUUCACACAAACUCCACUUGGAAUCCAAGUCAGGAUGUGGUCGCCCGCACUCGCGCUCGUCCUUUGGGCUCUGCUGAUUCCGGGAUCUUCUGCCACUAAAUUUCUGAGGCAGCCGGACAGAAUGAAGUCCGUCUCACUUGGAGGGACGGUGAAGAUUGACGCUACGGGGAGUUCAGAUAUCGGUGCUGAUCUCAGUUGGUACCAAGUGAAACCCGGGCAGGCUCCCAAACUGCUCAUCUACCAAGUAUCCAGUCGGUACUCUGGCACGCCAUCUCGAUUCAGCGGCGCACGAUCUGGCUCGGACUACACCCUGACCAUCAAUGGUGUCCAGGCAGAAGACGUGGCCGACUACUACUGCCUCGGCGCACACAGCGGCGGAACGUACACACGGUGAUUCGGAGGCGUACAAAAACCUCCUUCAACUUUGAGAGAAGUGAAAGUGGCCUGCAGAAGGUGCCAAGCGGAACGCAGAGGACACUCUGAAUGUGGAGAUGACACGUCGUCAAGCUAACGAAUCUGUCCAGAUGACGAACAACACUAUAUUUAUUAUAUUCUAUUUUCAAGAUUUGUAGUGUGUAUGAAUGAGUAGUUAUCAAUUUUUGUCAGAGAUAAAAUAUAUUGAUGAAAUGAGGAAUAGGGUUUCAUUUUAACUUAUGUAUCAAUAUAAACUACAUAAAUGUCACAAUGAAUUCAUCACAAUUGAAACAAUUCAUGAAAGCACCAACUAUACAGUCCAUUAUUUCUUAUCUAAUUAUAUUAUUUGUAUCCAUUAGG